AGUGAACGCUGGCGGUAGGCCUAACACAUGCAAGUCGAACGGCAGCACAGUAAGAGCUUGCUCUUACGGGUGGCGAGUGGCGGACGGGUGAGGAAUACAUCGGAAUCUAGUUUUUCGUGGGGGAUAACGAAGGGAAACUUACGAUAAUACCGCAUACGACGCACGGGUGAAAGCAGUGGAAAUUCGGAGCUUGCGCGAAUGGAUGAGCCGAUGCUGGAUUAGCUAGUUGGCGGGGUAAAGGCCAACCCAGGCGAGGAUCCGUAGCUGGUGUGAGAGGAUGGUCGGCGACACUGGAACUGGGACACGGUCCAUGCUCCUACGGGAGGCAGCAGUGGGGUAUGUUGGGCAAUGGGCGCAAGCCUUGUCCAGUCAGCCCGCGUGGGUUACGAAGGCCUUCGGGUUGUAAAGCCCUUUUGUUGGGAAAGAAAAGCUGCAGGUUGAUACCCCGCUGUUCUGACGGUACCCAAUGAAUAAGCACCGGCUAACUUCGUG
rnacentral:rRNA from 1 species